GCUGGGUCAAUUUUGGCAAUAUUUGCCAAUCCACUUAGCCUGCACAGCUUUGGACCGGAGGAAGAAACUGGCACACCCGGAGGAAACUCAUGCAGACGCAGGGAGAACGUGCAAACUCCACACUGACAGACGGCCAAAGGUGGAAUUGAAUCCAGUUCCCUGGUGCUGAGAGGCAGCAGUGCUCACCACUGAGCCACUGUGUUAGCCCAAAUGAAUGUGCUGCUUUUUAAUGAGAAAAAAAACCACAUUGUACAAAAUUCCUAGCCAAGGGGGAUCUACAGCUGAACACUGGUGGCAGCAGUGGAGAAAAUUGGACUGAAGGUCAUUGCUUCACAGCCAAACAAUCACAUGGGUUGAAGAACAGACUGAAAGAAAUCAAGAAAGAACACUGACACCAAAGGAGAGUACUCCUCUUUAAACAGUGCCUUCUAUGCCACCAGGCCUGCCACAUUUCUCCAGCAGGUUUUGUUUUUACUUUGAAAUGUGCUUCAUUGGCAGUAGAAAAACUCUGGGAUGUCCAGGGGAUGUGAAAGAGUAAUGAAAAUGCAAUUCUCUCUUUAUGUUGGCUUAUGGGCAACAUCGGAAUUGAGCCAAGCCACACCUCUCGACCAGUCAUAUCUGUACAGGACCGCUUUUUAAGUCAGGUGCCUGAAGAAUGUGUUUAAGAAACAGUUGACAACCUAGUCAAGUAUACCAUCAUCAUCAAAGGCUUUGUUAGUAAAUGCGUAGCGGACUGCGUGCCAAAGAAGUCAACCCUUUUGUUGCCCAACUGCAAACCUUAGAUGAACAGGAAAUCCACUGCCUACCAAAGACCAGGCAGGUGGUAUUCAGGUUUGAUGGUCAAGAUCUUUACAGGAAAUCCAGAUACAACUUCUGCAAAGCCAUUAGAGACGCCAAGAGGCAAUAGUACCACACAAAGUUAGAGGCCCAAACUAACUAUAACGAAACCCACUGCCAGCCACAAGGCCUAGAUGACAUAACGGGAAACAAAAUGAGGCAGAACAAAAUAGCGGCCAAAAAUACAUCCCGUCCUGACGUGCUCAAUGCAUUUUACCCUCGGUUUGAGCAGAAUGCCAGUGGUGCAGUGUCACCUGCCCCAACAGCCCCGGGUACUCCUGUUCUCGAAGACAUCACAUUGGCCUUCUUGAGAACAAACCAGAGGAAAGCAACUGGCCCAGGUGGAGUUACCGGCCCUGCACUCAGAUCCUGUGUAUGGAGUGAAUACUCCAGCUCAUGGGAGUAUUCACUGACCCCUUUAACCUCUCUUUGCUACAAUCUGAAAUUGUGCCUCGAUGACUACUACCCAGUGGGCCUACCUCCAUAAUAAUUCUAGAAGUUAGUAAUGGCUCACAUCAACUCUAGCGUCCCAGUCUGCCACUACUCCUUGCAAUUUGUUUACUGGUGUAACAGUCCACAGCGGAUGCUAUUUCUCUAGCCCUACACUCACCCUCGGAGCAUCUCGAUAAGAAUACCUAUGUCAGGCUUCUGCUCAUUGACCACAGCUCCACUUUCAACGUUAUAAUCCCAACCAAACUACAGUCGAUUCUGCUGUAAUGCUACACUUGCAUUCCUGCACAACAUCGUAUUAUAAAAAUCAUGCUAUAGAAAUGACAGGGUCUAUGGGAAAAGCAAGGUGGGGGGCAUUCCACCAAAAAAAGUCACUCAAAAUAGCUUUAAAAAACACAAAAGCCGAACACAAAGGUCAGCACAGUCUGAAUAAAUACUCAAUUCAUAUCUAAUAAUGAAAUAAAAAUAAAUUUGACAUUUUAUCUUGGGGGAAAAAAAAAGUCAUACUGCCUCCUCCCACAGAAAGCACUACAUGACAAAGCCCAAAUAAUGAUCACGAGAUGCCGGCGUUCAGACUCUUUCGGCACUAGUAUUGCACGUGUUCAUGACAAAGCCCAUGAAAUAAUCAUGUGAUGUUGAUGCAUUCUCUUCCACAAACCGACAGAAUCACGUUACAGCCUACACAAGUUUGCAUUUUAGAAACAGCAUGUCCCUACUCAUCAGUCGCAACAUAGCCAAUUUGCGUUGACAGAACAUGCGUUAUAGCAAAACCGACUGCAAUCUCAAAACUGAGACCAAGGUCUCUGCUCCGCCCCUUGCAACUAGAUCCUCAGCUUUCUAACCCAUUGACCACAAUCAAUGAAGAUAGACAACAGCACUUCCUCCAUGAUAGCCCUCAACACUGGUGCCCCACAAGGAUGUGUUCUCAGACCCCUACUGUACUCCCUGUGCACUCAUGACUGUGGCCAAAUUUCAACCAAACUCCAUUUACAAUUUGGCUGAUGACACCACCCCUGUGGGCCAGAAAUCAAACAACGACACUACAGGAAGGUGGAGUGCUUGGUGUUAUUGUUGCACCAUGACAAUCUCUCCCUCAAUUUCGGCAAAACUAACAAACUGAUCAUGGACUUCAGGAAGAAAGAAGGAGGACACGCCCCCAACUACAUCAAUGGAGCUGAAGUGGAAAAGGUUGGGAGCUUCAAGUUCCUAGGAGCGAUGAUAACCGACAAUUAGCCCUAGUCCUCCCACGGAGAUGCAACGGUCAAGGAGGCAUAACGUCUCUUGUUCCUCCUCAGGUGGCUUCGGAAAUUUGGUAUGUCCAUAAGGACCCUCACCAACUUUUAUAGAUCCAUCAUACAAAGCAUUCUAUUUGGUCACAUAACAGCUUUGUAUGGCAACUCUUUUGCCUACAAGAAACUACAGAAAGUUGAGAACACAGCCUAUACCAUCAUGCUAGCUGAACUCCCUUCCGUGGACUCCAUCCACACUUGUUGGAGUAGAAAGGCAGCAUGGUAACACUCUCUUCCAACCUCUUUUGCCAGGCAGAGGAUACAGAAGAUUAAACAUACAUACCAACAGGCUCAACAGGCUCUUCCCUAGUGAUAUUUGACUCCUGAAUGCACCUCUCUAAUUUCAGAUUUAACUUGAUCAUGCUUUUGUACACCUGUGCAGCUGUAACCUUGUAUGCCUCAUUCUGCUCAAUCACCCUGUGAUCGAAAUGUCCUUGUAUGUUAUGAUCUGCCUGUACU